rnacentral:rRNA from 1 species
CAGUCGCCGCGGUAAUACGUAGGCAGCGAGCGUUGUUCGGAAUUACUGGGCGUAAAGCGCACGUAGGCGGAUAUUUAAGUCAGGGGUGAAAUCCCGCAGCUCAACUGCGGAACUGCCUUUGAUACUGGGUAUCUUGAGUAUGGAAGAGGUUAGUGGAAUUGCGAGUGUAGAGGUGAAAUUCGUAGAUAUUCGCAGGAACACCAGUGGCGAAGGCGGCUAACUGGUCCAUAACUGACGCUGAGGUGCGAAAGCGUGGGGAGCAAACAGGAUUAGAUACCCGAGUAGUCCCUGUCUCUUAUAC